rnacentral:lncRNA from 1 species
UAGACUAGGAGUUACAGUUGGUGGGAGGUUGCUGAGACGGUUGGAAACUGACCUGUUAUAACUGAGGUUAAGUUUUCACUCCGGGGCUACAUUGGCAGAGACAGUGUGCUCAGGCUAGAUUUCAGGAGAGCUGCUCCUGUGUACUCCCCCAGCACCCAGGCUCACCUUAUAUUCGUGAGUGAACUGAUGUUCAUGAACAUGAGCUUAUAAAUGUGUUGUUUAUCAUGAAGUAUCACGGACUAUCGUUAAGGUUAUAUUAGGGUGGAAAUUGUCAAGCGGCUUGCAGGGAAGUGAAGAGUUUAGAUGGCUCUGCCACCUCCACAAAGAAGUGUGGUCUGCUGUCAGGAUCUUUUGAAAGGGGCUGUUUCCUGUGUCUCUCAAGAGAUGAAGGAGAAAAGGCCUAUCUCUGUCGAUGUUGAAUCAUGGGAGCAGGGAGUAUCCUGAGUAGGACUGAGAGGUUCAGAAAGGAGUCAGGCUCAAGCUUCAAGGGGAUGUGUGCCUGACCACCCACCAGCCAACAGUGCAACUCUGGAUACUCCAGCCAUGAUGUCCUGGUCAUGCUAGUCAAGAAUGGUUCCCUCAUCCCAGCCCCUGACUUGGGUUUGCAACAUGUCCUGGAACCUGGACCACCAGCACCAGGUGCUGCUGCUACAAAAUUCCUGAACAAGAUGCGAAAGUGUUUCAGCUGAGCCUUGAGAGGUGAAAGUACCUGUGCACCUGUCCCCUGGAUGGGACAACUUGAGGAAGGGCCAUCCAUAUUCCCAUUCCCUACCCAGGACACUGCUAAUGUGCAUAUGAGGAGAACACAAGACCCCAACCUGCUGCAGGGUGGAGAGUAGAGACAACUGGAGCUUUCCGCAUAACACUUGUGCAUUCCUUCUGCAGGCUUCAAAAGCCUAAUCUGUGAUUUUAGACACAAGACAGGAGGAGACUGAGAGGAAUCCUUUGAUCCAAUACAGCAGGAGAAGACUAUCAUCCCAAUCGCUUAAGUGGAGGUCCUCCUGGAGAGUUCCCCUUUCAAAACCUGCAAAACCUUUCAUUUUUUUUUUAGUCAUAUUCUUUAAAAUUCAUAAAAUGUUGCAACAAUAAAAAUGAGUAUUAUAAAAGUUGUUUGAUAGAAAACAACUAUCAAUUGAACAAUCUUAUGUAGCUGUUUGUGUACUGCAAUACUGAAAAUACAUACAUUUUUCUCAAUAUAAAUUUUAAAUAACUCCAAAUAUAUUAACUGUAUGUUAUUUUAAAAUAAUAUGUCACUAUUAGUUUUUGUAAUGAACAUAAAUAAAGUCUUUUUGUUUGCUUUGUUAUAACUUUUGGGACAGUCUUAAGAAGUCUUGAAUUAAGGAGAAGAAAACUAAAAGAAAUUAUUUUACAUCCUGAAAGAUUUUUCUGGACUACAUAAGUGAUGGGAGAAAGAAUAAAGUGGUUGGGACAUUGCAUUUUGCACCCAUUAGCUAUGUGUAUGUAUGUGUAUGUAUGUGUAUGUGUAAAUUUUGUGUAGGAGUAUUGUUGUACUGCAUGAAUCACAAAGGUACAUCCUGUUCCCUGGUUUCUAUCCUUGUUUUCAUUCCGCUUCAUUUUCCAAAAGCACCUGGGAUGAAUAAAAUCAGCCACAAGAAGUGGAAUGUUCAGUAGCAAGAAGAGGAAAAUCAAGGUGAACAUAUUUUUCCUGUUCUGAGCCUGGGCAGUAUUGAUUGUGAAGUGCCAAACAGAUCAGGAAAUCAAACAGGAAUAUUUUAGAACCUGUACUUCCAGUGGGAGAGUUUAUUGAUAAUUGAGGUGGCUGGGAUAAAGAAUAGCAUGUGACAAAGAAAUAUGGGAGAGGAAGAACUUUAGUAUGAACUGGAUAUGUGGCAGAGGCUGGUGAUCUAUCACAGUGCUGUAUACAGGAUCUGAGGAUUGUUUUUGAAGGAGGUGAAGAAGAAGUGGACAACUUUAAUGAAUUUUUAUGCUUCUUUGUCUGGACUGGCCUGUCAGUUCUCAGAGAAUGUCUCCUGAAAUUAAAGGUAUGAUAAAGGAAUGAGUACAAAAAGAGAAGGUAAGUGGUACAGAUGUGAUCUUUGAAAAAGAAGGCAAAAAUAUACAAUGAAAAAAAUGAAAGUGCCUUGAAUAAAUGGUGAUGCUCUAACUGGCAUCUGUAUGUAGAAAAAUGAAGAUAGACUCAUAUUUGUCAUGUUGUACAAAGCUGAAGUCCAAGUGGAUUAAGCACCUCAACAUAAAUCAGAUAAAC